rnacentral:tRNA from 2 species
GCCGGCAUAGCUCAACGGACAGAGCGCCUCCCUUCUAAGGAGUAGAUGGGGGUUCGAUUCCUCCUGCUGGCG